rnacentral:rRNA from 1 species
UACGUAGGUGGCGAGCGUUGUCCGGAUUACUGGGCGUAAAGAGCGCGCAGGCGGUCGUACAAGUCGCGUGUGAAAGCCCCCGGCUCAACUGGGGAGGGUCACGCGAUACUGUUCGACUCGAAGGCAGGAGAGGGAAGCGGAAUUCCCGGUGUAGUGGUGAAAUGCGUAGAUAUCGGGAGGAACACCAGUGGCGAAGGCGGCUUCCUGGCCUGUUCUUGACGCUGAGGCGCGAAAGCUAGGGUAGCAAACGGG